rnacentral:lncRNA from 1 species
ACCAAAGCGGAACCCAGCACCCACCUUCAGCAGACUACGAAAUGCCGACCAAGUCACAAGGCCACAGUGAGCACGGUAGAAAGCAAUGGUGAAAGGCAGUUUUCCUCGAAUGAGAGCAUCAGACAGGCAUGCCCGGGACCAGCUGUGGGAAUCCUGAGAGACAGACAUGAAGCACUUCACUUGGAAAUGCUUUCUUAGUCUUUCAAUUUAACAUUCAAAGGGAUGAGGGAUUUUUAUCAACAGCAGCCAGCUGCAAUGCAAAGUCAUGCUUUCUAGUCUCAGUUCAAAUGGACAUUUCCCUUAUUUUAGCCGUGCAUAUCACAGUCUCCAUUUUCAAGCCAAUUCUGGUUUAAAGGUGACCCUGCUCUUAAAAAUCAUUAAAUAAUAAGUGGUCUCACUCUAAUUUUUCAGCUUCUCUCUGACUUUACAACUCACUAAAAGGAAGGUUCUGCCUGCCGCCCGUGAGCUUCUAAAGAAUAAAGUGGAAUAAAAUUUGCCUUCUC